UGGGGAAUAUUGCGCAAUGGGGGCAACCCUGACGCAGCAACGCCGCGUGAGUGAUGAAGGUCUUCGGAUCGUAAAGCUCUGUCGGUAGGAAAGAUGGAGAGGCUGGCUAACAUCCAGCAGCUCUGACGGUACCUACAAAGGAAGCACCGGCUAACUCUGUGCCAGCAGCCGCGGUAAGACAGAGGGUGCAAGCGUUGUUCGGAAUCAUUGGGCGUAAAGGGCGCGUAGGCGGUUUUGUAAGUCGAAUGUGAAAGCCCAGGGCUCAACCUUGGAAGUGCAUCCGAAACUGCGAAACUUGAAUCCUGGAGAGGGUGGUGGAAUUCCCAGUGUAGAGGUGAAAUUCGUAGAUAUUGGGAGGAACACCGGUGGCGAAGGCGACCACCUGGACAGAGAUUGACGCUGAGGCGCGAGAGCGUGGGGAGCAAACAG
rnacentral:rRNA from 1 species